rnacentral:lncRNA from 1 species
CACAGGAAUAUUGUCUGUGUGCUGUGACCUUUGACCUCCUGAUCUCCAGACCACUGGUUAUUUGUAUUCUAUCUGAUCUAGGAGACACGACAGCGGAGGAUCAGGGAAUCACUGAAACCACUCAAGUUGAACUAAUUCUGAUCCAAAAGGUUGUCUAAUCUUCUCUGUUUUUUGGACUGUACAUCUGUGUUAGGAAGGGGUUGGUGAUAUUAUGCAGUACGUGUUCAAUUUUGCAUAUAAGCACUUUAAAGCCAUAGGAAACAUGCACGGAUGGAAUUUCCUGAGGCCAAACCGCCCUAAAGGUCCUUACACACCAGGCGCGAAUUCGCCAGGCGAAUUAUUCGCCGUUUUUUAAAACAGCAUAAAGUCAAUGCAAGCUUCCACACCGGUGGCGAUUUUUCCGCAUGGCGAAAAGCGUCUUUUAUUUUUUCGCUCAUGUGUCGAAUUUUUCGGAGAUUCGCAGGCGAAUAUCUGGACCUGCUAGACCUCUGGCCAAUCAAAAGUCAUGUUGUUGAUGAUGUCACAGACCCAUGCAGCUGCAGUUCACACGACACACACCACCACUGGCACCAAGAGCAACGAUGGGAGAGAGUGUGUACCACAGAGGGGUCGCCCGGAGUGUAUAGGCGAAAGCGAUUUUUCGGACCGGUGAAUAUUUUCGCAUUUUCGUCUCGCUUCUUCGCUUUGCUCCGCAAAUUCGCUGGUGUGUAAAGACCUUAAGACUCCACUGAGUUUUCUUAAUGAGAUUUCUUAAUGUCAGUCGUUUUUGAGUUCAAGUCAAAGGAUUUUGGUGUUGAAUUGUUUUUUUCUUUGACCAACUAAUAUGGCCAUUUUCACCCAUUUAUUCUAAUGCAGGAUGAAUCCCCUCUUCAAGAUCAAUUAGCCCUUUUUUGAGUGUCAGUCAAAGUUUAGAAGUUAUUGAAACUGGAAAAAUCUCAGACUGGGAUUGUUUGAAGAAUUUGUCAAGUUUGAUGUCAAUCAAAUACCGUGACCUUUUUUGUUUGCCUAGAAAACACCUGCAUCCAGAGGCGUUCGGAGACUGUUUGAGGGGCAGGGGUGACAAAAUAAAAAAGGGCACUGACAUAAAUACAGCUGUGAUAAAUCAAAUUUUGAAGACUUAUUUAUCCUUUCGUCUGGUGGAGCCCGGUGUACAGCCAGUUUGGUAUUUUCAUGGACUGAGGCGCACCGAGGUCCGCCAAGCUGGGCGUGGUGGCGUGGCAGAGGGAGGUGUCGACAGAAUCAGCGGGCGCAGUCACAUUUUCGUGCUCGCCGGUGGUGUAUAAAGUGCGCUAAAAGCUCGCCGAUUCAAACUUGGUCAGCUUUCAGCGCAGGCGGAGCGCAGCUGGUCUAGUGGUAUUUUGGUAGAGCGGCGGCGUAUCGGCAUACAUCAAUGAUGCCUCACCGGCAGGUUUCCACAGUGUCAGGCACAUUUCAGUGCAAUAAAUAAUCAACAACGAAUAAUCUGAAUCAGCACAUACAUUUAGAUCCAUAUAGAUAUAUUCUGAUCUAUAUCUGAUCUGAUGAGCGCGUUUGGCACACGUUUGGACACACAACCUGACCGAAUCAACACAGCUGAAACCACAUUAAAUUAAAUUAAAUAUCUAGUAAAUAUACACACAUGAAGUUAACAAGAUAUGUAAUUCGUCCCCCUUCUUUUCUUUCUUCUUUUUCUUUCUGCCAUCGUGUGGCAUUACUGUCUUCAGACAUCUCUUGAUCUCUUUGACUACUUCACGAAAAUAGUAAUAUGCCUCGCCAGUGGCGGAUUUAAAGGUGAGGAGAGGAACUUAUGUGAUUGGUCAAUACAGGUCUCGGCUGUGUUAAACCCAUUCCACGCCCUCUCUCCUCCCUCCCUACGACUUACGGCGCUUGGAGGAGCUGAGUUAGGGAGGGGGGAUACUUACGCCGGGCUGCGCCACUCACCAAAAUACCAAAUUGUGCUUGGGAACGCCUUGUCGGUGUGGCGGACCUGACUUACGCUGCGCCUGCACUCUGUCUCCGGCGAAGCACAAAAAUAGAGCCCUGGUUGUUAAAAUAUUAUUUCAGCCUCCGUCUGAAAUGCUUCCAGAUUUUUGGGAGCCGGCCAAAGGGCAGAGCUUGAUAUUUUGGUCCCACUCCCUUAAGUGUGAUCAAUCAGUUCAGCAGCUGAGCAGAGUUACCCUAAUUCUUACAUAAGAAUUUUAGUAAAUCUUGCACAUAAAGUACGGUCCCGCAUUUUCGUGUUUGUCCGAGAUUUGAGCAGUUCACGUCUAUUUUCUAAGAUUACAACAAAAUACCUUGUGAUUUCAAACCUUGCAUUCCUGUAGAUCAAACUCCAUAACUUUUCAGCUUUUGUUGCAAAUGUGAAAAAGCAUAAUGCCACCCCUUUUAAGAUGGAGGUUUCACUUCUAGAGGUGUGGUCUAAACACCAAGACCAGGCUGUUAUUAGUGUAAAUGGGGAGUGUGUUGUUAGCUAUCUUCUGAAACUACUCAUGUAAACAUAUGUUUAAGCUGCUGCAGGGAACUGCUGCUUCGUGUCAAUUUUGGUGCCUCCUGUGGACAAAGAGAUCUACCCUAUUUCUUCAUUGAACAUCUAUCAUAAAUGAGUAAAUUGUGGGGUUUUUUUUGGACAAAAUCUCAUCCUGCUGUCUUUAACAGUCAGACGUAUCACUUAGCAUAAAUAUUUGCAAUGGAAUAAGUGAAUAAAGGAAUUUUCUGUGGUAAAUUACAUUACCCCUUGCAUUGUCAUAAGCAUUACAACCUACAAUAUAGAAAUAUAAAAAUACAGAAACAAUAUUUUGUUUGCUUUUGAAGGUAACAGAGAGGCCUUACAGUUGAUUUCAGCCUCUUUCAUAACCAGACAAAAACUCCUGACAGGAGCUUUAAAUGUAAAGCUCCUAUGAGGUCAGCUGUGAGGACACUAAAUCUGCUUCAAGCGCCAGCUUUGCAUCUCGAAAUAGAUCUGAUUUUGAAUUUUGAUGUCACUAUAGUAAGCUGAUAGAUGACAAGUUAGAAAAAUACCCCACAUUGGUUUUACAGAAGUUAUCAGUUUUGUCCUGGUAACUUUAAAAAAGUGCCAGGAGCAUCUGUUGAAAAAAAUCCUGUAACUAAAGAUGGAGAGAGGUUAGAUUAAAGUAGGAAAUCACAAGAGUUGUGUUUUUCAUGUUUUUAUGUUAAAGGUGAAUUUAGGUUUCAGACUCCUCCUAUCUCAGUGAUGUUUCUGCACAGUUACAGUAUUUGAUUUAAAAACACAUAUUCCUAUUGUCACAAUGCCUAACAAAUGUAGGGAGCAGAAUCUUGAUCCACAAAGUAGCAUCAGUUUUGGGUUUGGUUGCGUGCAAAGCGAGCCUCUCCAUUUAGCCGUGUUAUGUAAGGGAGGCUGUAAUCUGUUAUAUAAUAACAGGGUAAGUGAAAUGUUCUGCACUUAAAUUGGUGGGUCCCAGGAUUUGUUUUCAUCCCACAGCCAGGAUUGUUUGCUCUCUGAAACAUCUGUAAGAUAGUAGAAAUUACUAGGAAAUUAGAUAUUGCUUAGGCAGUAAUUAAUUAACCCUUUGUAACCUGCAGAGCUGCGGCAGAGACUCAGAUCACGCUGUUUUUUUCUGACACAAUUUUCACAAUGUCACUGCUGUCAAAUAAAGGAAGAUGUAAUCUUUUGGAAAUAAAACAUGUCAAGGUUGUAAGCAAUCAAAAUUUCUCCAAAAGAUAUUUUGCUGCUCAAUGUUGAGAGCUAUUUCUCAUUCAGCUCUCUGUGUAUCAGACCUUCACAUACCAUGUUCUUUGUCAGCAAGACUUUUCUUGGAGGCCACGUCUGAAGAAAUGUAUUAAAGAGGAAACAAGAGGCGCAGAAAACAGAGCUCAACACAAUUCGUCCAAUAAAGUCAGGAAAUGGAGUGUGGGGAAAAUAUCUGUUUGUAAAAAGUGUUGACAGAAAAACCUUGGAUUAAUACUUUUCUGUCAGGAUGGAUUUUCUUCAGUUUUUAUCUUUUUUUGUCAGACUCUGGCUGCGGGAUGUUCAGGACAUCCUCAUAAUUCAGAGGUGAUGCAGUUACUGAGUCUACUCUGUGAAUGAAGUUGACCUGUUGGAUGUCACAGAUAAACUCAUGAUACAUUUUAAUACACAGUGUAGCAGCAGAACGUGAUGGAUCCUUCAGGUGAAUAUCUGCAAAUUUUUAUUCAAUAAAAUAUCACAAAUUUGAGCAGAAUGGCCUGUUUAAGGGGAUGUAAAGUGACUUAUUCACUUGUUUUAAAGCACAUUUAAAACAACAAAAGUGCUUUACAGCAGAGGUGAGUUGGAUAAAAAAAAUCCAUCCAGUGUAGCUCUACAAAAUUAAAAGAAAAAGAGCGCAUGAUUUAAUACUUCAAUAGACACUGUCAAAAAAAUCUAAUCUCACAGAGUAUCCCAGUUAAUACACUCAAUAUAAAGCAGGAUCAUAAGGGAGGUCCAGGUGUUCAUCUUCAUAGAGGAUAUUUCAGGUGAAAAUGAGGAUUUUAUUGGUUGUUUAUGAUGAGUGAAAUAGCUGCCAAUACAGUCAAACUUUCUUCAGAAGUUUUUUGAAAACUCUGUAUGGAUGUUCAGCAGUCAGCAGUGAUGAAGCAUUUAUUCCCUUUUUUGCUUUUGUUUAUUUGACAGGGAGAAAUCCAACAAACACAUGGACAAAGUCGUUGCUACACACACAGGGUUCUAGCCAUGGCUAACAUGAAACCGUGGUUUGUCAGCGGUUAAGUUUAUAUAAAUGAAAACAGAAAUCACAGAGUACAGUGUUACGAGUUAAAAAGCACUUAAUGAGAUCAAUGUGUGCAAUAAGAUAUAAGACUUCAACAAAGACGGAGACCAGUAUACGUAUCAACAUGAAUGAAACAAAGACCACAUGUAAGUACACAGACUGUGUGCAUAUACAGUAUGUCUGUAUGUGAUUUGAAAGUGUCCAGUCCAUGUUCACACUUCAUCACUUGUACUGUGGUACAUAAUGCCACUUGUUUGGAUAAUGUUUUAGUGAGUUUCAAAAGAUGAACUCAGAGUGAUGAUUUCUGUUUUUCACUGAGGAGAAAAAAAGCUGAGUUGAUGGGGGAAGGAAGAGAAGAUCUCACACUGCAGAUGGUCUGUCAGCUCCAUUCAAACACCCAAACACUCACCAGCACAGCCCCCCUCUCUCUCCCUCUGUCUUUCUCUCUCUCUCUCUCUCUCCCUCUCACCUGCGUGCAGCUCUGGUGAUGAAACCUCGACUUCAUCAUGCAGAGGAACUUUCUGAAUAAACACUUGUGCUCACACUGAGUCAGUAGGGGGAGGUCAGCUCAUUCUCAUCAGACUGAAUCACUUUCUGUCAGAAAAGCUUCAACUCUUCCGUGUGCUCCUCUCUGCUGAGGAUAUUUUUGGCUCUCACAGAGGGAGAGAGAGAGAGGGAGAGAGAGUGAUGGCUGUCAGAGAGAGAGGGAGACUCUCAGAGACUACCCCAGCAGGCACUGUGUGUGAGAUCCAGGGGCCCCACGGCCCUCUGGAUGGCUCAUGCUGAAUGGGUGCCCUGGCGAGGUGACCAGGCUCAUUGAGAGCAGGUUAGGAGGGGCAGGGAAUGCUUUUGCUCUGCGUUUGGCCCCUUGACCCACUGUCCAACGUCUGCCUUGGCAGCUUUGAGACCCAACAUAUUUAUUUGCACGGCUGUGAAGAGAGAGGGCGGAGCGGCUGUCAGGAUAAAGUCAUCGUCCUGCUGACAGCUUCAUCUGCUGUUGAAGGGCAGCUAUGACAGGCGCACAAUGUCUCUGCAUCGGCCGGCCCUGGGCGAAGGACUGUCAUAUGUGGACAUGCUGGGAAUCUAGCAACCGUCUCCCCUCCCUCCUCUUUGCACAGCUCCUCUGACACGCCAAAAUUAUUCCUCUGCCCUGGUAGAAAUGUUUUUCAUCUGCGAGUACAAGGAUGUUGAAACAUGGGGACUUCUCUGCUCAGCAUUAAGUGUUUGACUUUGUUGUUUUUAUUAGGGAAGAUGAUUGUUUUUCUGGGCCUUAUUAGAGUGUGAACACAGAAAAUAAAAAAUGUGACUAAUAUGUAAUAUGUGAAUUUAGAUUACAUUGUUGAAACAUGUAAUAAAAUGAGUACUGACCCAAUAACUGCACCUCAUCAGUCAUCAGAGAAGCCGGCUUGUAGGUAUGACUGGCUCUCUGCUGUGGCAUUUCCUGACAUUAUAUCACCUUGGCACAAAACAGCAUUGUCUGAUGUGAGCUACCUUUGAAAUACAAGACUUCAUUUGCAGAAUUAACCACUGUUAAAAAUGUUUGUUUUAUUUUUGUUUGUUUUGUUUUUCCACAAGAAAUAGUUUUCUCUUUUGUGUAAUAACUUUAGGUUCCUGAAAAAUAAAAGGGCUCCAUAAUAAAGCCUAUGUACAAUUACAGGUACAAAUUUGAAUAUACUCAAGUCUAAUGACUACAGCAGGUGAAAUCAGGACUAUACUCAGUAUAAAAAGAGAGUGUGCUUAAGAGAAAAUUAGGAAUACAUAUCAGUUCACAGCUAAAAAAAUUAAAGAAACAGAUGUAGAGUAAAAUAGUGCGACCUAAAAUCACACCAUGAAUAUGCAGCAUGUUAGCAUUUAUAUAUGUUUUCCAUUAACUCUUUAAAUUGUUUAUAUUGUAGAAGUUGAGCAUCUGUAUAGUUAAGGGUUACUAAACAAAAGUAUGCACAUUAAAGACGUUGACACCAGGGUCCCUCUGCUGUUUGUUUAAACCUCUGUCCACACAUCUAGAUCUACACAUGCACCAAUUCACUUAGCCUCAUUGACAUUUGUCUUUAUUUCAUUAUCAUUAUCAUUGUUGUUAUUAGUUUGGUUCCAUUUGAGCUUACAGUUCAAUGAUCUUUUUUCCUCUUUUCACUGCAAAACACCAAAUCUCGUGUGUUUGUCUUACUUCUAAUCAAAAGCAAAUCAAAUUUAUUUUUGGCUUUAUUUAAGUGAAAUUCGCUCUAAGAG